CAGCCGCCGCGGUAAUACGAAGGGGGCUAGCGUUGUUCGGAUUUACUGGGCGUAAAGCGCACGUAGGCGGAUCGAUCAGUCAGGGGUGAAAUCCUGGAGCUCAACUCCAGAACUGCCUUUGAUACUGUCGAUCUCGAGUCCGGAAGAGGUGAGAGGAACUCCUAGUGUAGAGGUGGAAUUCGUAGAUAUUAGGAAGAACACCAGUGGCGAAGGCGGCUCACUGGUCCGAUACUGACGCUGAGGUGCGAAAGCGUGGGGAGCAAACAGGAUUAGAGACCCCAGUAGUCCCUGUCUCUUAUAC
rnacentral:rRNA from 1 species